GGGCGCUUAGCUCAGUUGGGAGAGCAUCUGCCUUACAAGCAGGGGGUCAUAGGUUCGAGCCCUAUAGCGCCCA
rnacentral:tRNA from 1 species